rnacentral:lncRNA from 1 species
CUGGUAUAGGCUGAUGUAGGCUGGUGAAGGCUGGUGUAGGCUGGUGAAGGCUGGUGAAGGCUGGUGAAGGCUGGUGUAGGCUGGUGUAGGCUGGUGAAGGCUGGUGUAGGCUGGUGAAGGCUGGUGAGCUCUGGCAUUGGAUUUUAAUCCUGGCCCUGAAAAGUCAAGUAUUAAUUUCUUGGGAUCCUGGCACUUAUUUAAUGAUUAAACUUUGUAAUCCAUAGGUUUGUACAGUGAGUACAUUAUAACCC